GGACUUCACUUAGACAGGUACCAAGCAUACUAAUAAAACAUUAUGAGUGAAAAGACGCUAACAAUCAACUUGACAAAUUGAAGUGAAAGUAUUCAUAUUGUAACAUUAAAGAUAAACAUCCUAAUUAUCUAAAUUCUUUGGCAUGCACAUCUAUUGAUCAAAUUUACAUUCUUCCACCAUUUUCAAUUACAUCACCAUUCACCCGUAUUCUCCUGAGAUGAAGUUUCUGAAAUGAGAUAAAUAUUACUGUUCUUCAUCCUCUAAAGUAAAAUCGUUAUGGACCACCGAACCCUUGACUCUUGGCCUCCCCAACUAACCUAUGCACCACCUCUUCCUAUAGCAUCCAGGAGAAACCUUAUUUUCUCUCCAUUUCCAGAAAAAAGAAAACAACAAUUUCUACACAUGUUCUUCUACAAACAAUAAGUGUUGUCUUUAAUUGGUGAGGUUAUUAUUGUGGCAGAUAUGGAAUUCCUCGAUUGAGGAAGUUACAAGCAAACAUUGAUAAAGUUACAACGGAGAAUUUUU
rnacentral:misc_RNA from 1 species